GCGGGGGUUGCGGAGCCUGGCCAAACGCGCAGCCCUGAGGCGGCUGUCCCGUAGGGGUUCGUGGGUUCAAAUCCCACCCCCCGCACCA
rnacentral:tRNA from 1 species